rnacentral:rRNA from 1 species
AUUGAACGCUGGCGGCAGGCCUAACACAUGCAAGUCGAGCGGAGCUGCCGGCGGGCGGGUGAUGCCCACGUAUCUGACUGGCAGAUGGGGAUAACAUCCCGACACGGGACCUAAUACAGCACACUAUCAGAUGAGCCUAGGUCGGAUUAGCUAGUGGGUGGGGUAAAGGCCUACCUAGGCGACGAUCCGUAACUGGUCUGAGAGGAUGAUCAGUCACACUGGAACUGAGACACGGUCCAGACUCCUACGGGAGGCAGCAGUGGGGAAUAUUGGACAAUGGGCGAAAGCCUGAUGCAGCCAUGCCGCGUGUAUGAAGAAGGUCUUCGGAUUGUAAAGUACUUUCAGUGGGGAGGCGUUACCAGCAGAAGAAGCACCGGCUAACUCCGUGCCAGCAGCCGCGGUAAUAC